rnacentral:lncRNA from 1 species
GAAUCUGGAGAGAAUCUUUUACUUCCAAAGAAUGUUUACUUAUGUUCAUUAAUGCAUGAAGUUGUCCAGAACGUACCCAAAAUAACGCAAGCAUUCCCAACACUUUUAUUCACCUUCCCCAUAUUCCACAUACUUCCAAAAGCAAUUUGUGGAAAAGUUUAUCUGGAAGGUGUCAUCCCCCUUCAAGUUUCUUCAUCUUUGUAUGUUUCUUGACAUGGAAUUUGUAGGCCACUUUCUUCUGCAUGACUGUUCUACUUUAUUGGUAUACUUCUGGUAUUCGAUCCAUUUAAAUUUUGAUGUGAGACCACUUUGUUUUCAUUCGUCACUUUUGUGAAAUGUAAUAAGUUCAAAAAAAUCCAGCAGGCAUGAGGUUAAAUUAUAACCACCCAACACGUACAAGCGAAUAUAUCAGCCAACUCUCUUUCCAGAAUUAUAAAUAAUUGAAAUAUAUAAUCUCUGCCAAUAUAUACUUGAUCAGUGCUUGGCAUGAUUGUUGAAACAUCGAAGCAACAAGUUAAGAAAUACAUACCGAAAUGUAAAACAAAAUUCAGAUGGAGACAUACGAGCGAAACAAAAGUCACACGGCUGAUCUGUCCCGAGACAUUUGUGGUUGUCGAUUGUCUUCCUUAGAAAUGAUUGAACAACGACAAAUCAAUGUCCACGACCUAGUAGUAGCAUAUAUUUUGACUAUCUUAUAUUUUAUAACAAAGUAUGUGAGGAUGUGAAGGGUUGUCCAUGUCAGACCAAAACCCGUGGUGUUGAGUUUAAGCUGUUUUCAUUUUCUUUUCUCUUAUUCAUAUAGAAAAGAGUCUAGAAACGGUAAUUCCUAUUAGAAGGGUCCAGAAAGAAAUUGAAACCCUUAAUUUCUGCUCUAACCUUUCAUUGUUUUUGUUAGUCACGAGCCUCAGUUACAUUAUUCAACUUAAAGAAAACAAAUGGAAACUUGGAAAGAAAGAGAACCAGUUAUUUAAUUCGAUUUAGACAUAAAUAAUAUAUUAUUGUGAUGGGAAAUUGAUACAAAGUUCAAAUAACUAACGAUACGACAAUGGAUCUCUUCAGUAAGAGAAUUAUUGUUCACAAAUUAAGAUGACUACUUCAUCAGUAAACUUACACGCUCUUAAGUGGAUCAUUCGUAUUAGAGUUGGUGAAAGCGUGCCUGCGAUGAACUCCAUUACAAAAGAACUCCCACUUAGUUCGGUAGCUGAGGUAUAGAUGACAUGCAUGGUACAAGAAUUUCUCCUUAUGUGGCUUUAGGCCAUCUCGAAUGGAGAGAGCUAAAGGUCCAAAAGCCGAAAAAUUGCUUAAUUUGCACAAAAACUCAUCUCUAACUAAAGGCUGAGCUACAAUUCUAUAGAG